rnacentral:rRNA from 1 species
UGGGGAAUAUUGGACAAUGGGCGCAAGCCUGAUCCAGCAAUGCCGCGUGAGUGAUGAAGGCCUUAGGGUUGUAAAGCUCUUUUACCCGGGGAUGAUAAUGACAGUACCGGGAGAAUAAGCCCCGGCUAACUCCGUGCCAGCAGCCGCGGUAAUACGGAGGGGGCUAGCGUUGUUCGGAAUUACUGGGCGUAAAGCGCACGUAGGCGGCUUUGUAAGUCAGGGGUGAAAGCCUGGAGCUCAACUCCAGAACUGCCCUUGAGACUGCAUCGCUUGAAUCCAGGAGAGGUGAGUGGAAUUCCGAGCGUAGAGGUGAAAUUCGUAGAUAUUCGGAAGAACACCAGUGGCGAAGGCGGCUCACUGGACUGGUAUUGACGCUGAGGUGCGAAAGCGUGGGGAGCAAAACAGGAUUAGAUACCCUGGUAGUCCACGCCGUAAACGAUGAUAACUAGCUGUCCGGUCACUUGGUGAUUGGGUGGCGCAGCUAACGCAUUAAGUUAUCCGCCUGGGGAGUACGGUCGCAAGAUUAAAACUUAAAUGAAUUGACGGGGUCAUAGCUGUUUCCU